CAAGUCCUAGAGAACUAUUACAGGAGUUACAGGGAGACUUUGAUCGGUCAGUAAGCAAUACAGCCAGGCGUAUAAAGCUGUUAAAAGAACGCCUUGGGACAAAUACUAUCCCCUAUGAUUUGAGGCCCCUAAAGCAAAGCGAAGAGAAAGGUCACGUAGUAGCCCCUCUCAGAAGAGUAUUUGAUGCACUUGAGGAGCCUGUGCUGGUUAACGGGCAACUCGGACCACGGCCACCUCGAACUUCGACCCUCCAGUACAUUCCAUUCACAACUACGGAUCUGAUGAAUUGGAAAACACACACCCCGUCUUUCGCAGAAAAACCUCAGGCUAUGAUGGACUUGGUGACUUCAAUAGUAAAUACUCAUAGUCCUACUUGGACAGAUUGCCGCCAGCUCCUGAAUACUCUGUUCACCACUGAGGAAAGAAGAGACAUAAUUGAAAAGGCACAGAUAUAUUUGCGUGAGCAGGCCAGAGUGGGAAAUAUUCUUAAUGUUGACCGUCAUCUCCAGGACAAUUUUCCCUUGGAGGAUCCUAAUUGGGAUCCAAACAAUGCAAUUCACCUGGCCAGGCUUACCACCUACCGCCAGACGCUUGUGCAAGGUAUCCGCAGGGCAUGCCAGAAGCCCACUAAUAUGACUAAAGUCUCAGAAGUAGAACAGAAACCGAAUGAGAGUCCGGGAGACUUUUAGAGAGGCUGCAGGAAGCCUAUCGUAUAUGGACUCCUUUUGACCCUGAAGCCCCUGCAAACAGCAGAAUGAUUACUGCUACUUUUGUGGCUCAGUGCGCUUCUGACAUUCGUAAGAAAAUUCAGAAGUCAGAAGGCUGGGAAGGGAUGCUGAUGAGCCAAAUUAUGGCCAUUGCACGCCGAGUUUAUCGGAAUAGGGAUGAGGCUGAGAAACAAGAGAAGAAGAAGUGGCAGAAGGAAAAGAUGGUGAUGCUAGCCACAGCAGUGAAGCAAGACUACCGCCCUUUAAAUGGAGGGAGAGGGCGGGGAAGGAAUCCACCACUGGGAAGGAAUCAAUGUGCGAAUUGCAAGAAGGAGGGUCAUUGGAAGCGGGAGUGUCCUGAACCCCUGAGGUUGGAAGAAGUACGCCCAGGCCCAGGCCCAGGCUCCGGCCCAAGAAACCAGGGACGGGGACGGGGAAUGAUCCGAGAUGGAAGAUAUCAGAGACCUGGACAAGGACGGAGUAGAGACAAUUUCAUUGGACUGGCAGAGGAGGAUUUUACCCAAGACUAGGAACGACCGGACUCCAUAAAGUUAGGCUUCCAGGAGCCCACGGUCAAAAUUCAAUUAGGGAGCCAUUUAAUAGACUUUAUGAUAGAUACUGGCGCUGAAUACUCAGUACUCCCAGAACUAUUGCAGAAAAAGGCAUCCAAAAGUGUAGUCAUUAAAAGUGCCACUGGUCAGUCAGCUAAGAGGUCUUUCCUCCAACCUUUAGAAUGCCAGAUUGGGGGACAUCAUUUAACCCAUCAGUUUUUGUAUAUACCUGAGUGUCCAAUGCCUCUCUUAGGUAGAGAUAUGCUGUCCAAAUUGCAGGCCCAAAUCACCUUCACUCCUCGAGGUCCAGAAAUGAAACUGCCAUCAAAGGCAGCAGGAAUAAUUUCCCUCUCAGUACCUAAGGAACAAUCAUGGCGCCUAAUGUCAGCCCUGCAAGUCCAACCCACAUUGGAUACAGAAUUAAACAAGCUCCUCCGAACCCUACAAGUGCCACCAGGAGUAUGGGCCGAAAAUAGCCCACCAGGAAUGGCUAAGAAUAUAGCUCCAAUUGUAGUAACCCUAAAACCUAUGGCUACCCCUGUAUCUGUAAAGCAAUAUCCUUUACCCCGGCGAGCAGCAGAGGGCAUCCAGAAACAUUUGGACCGCCUAUUAAAAUAUGGUCUGCUUAAGCCCUGCCAAUCAGAAUGGAACACACCCCUUUUGCCUGUUCGGAAGCCUGGGACAGAUGAAUACAGGCCAGUACAGGACUUGAGGCUCGUAAACCAGGCUAUCGAGACCUUGCACCCAAAUGUACCAAACCCAUAUACCUUGCUGAGUUUGAUCCCACCAGAAGCAACAUUUUUACUGUAUUGGACUUGAAAGAUGCAUUCUUCUGUUGCCGGCUGGCACCACAGAGCCAACCUAUAUUUGCCUUCCAGUGGGAAGACCCUUUGACAGGAACAAAAGGCCAGCUAACCUGGACAAGAUUGCCCCAGGGAUUCAAAAAUUCCCCAACUUUAUUUGGCACUGCCUUGGCGAAGGAUCUAACAAGUUACCCCUCAAUACCUGGAAAAAGGUGGUUCUGCAAUAUGUAGAUGACCUUAUACUAGCGGCAAAGGAUUUUGAUACCUGUAAAGAAGGGACAGAGGAACUGCUCCACUUGCUCUGGGAAGCUGGCUACCGAGUUUCCCAGAAAAAGGCACAGUUAUGUUUAGAAAAGGUCAAAUAUUUGGGCUUUGACAUCUCACACCAACAACGAGCAUUGAGACCAGAGAGGAAAGAAGCUAUUUGCCUUAUCAAGGAACCUACCACAAGGAAACAACUCAGAGGAUUCCUGGGAACAGCAGGGUUUUGUAGACUAUGGAUACCUGAUUUCAGCAGUCUGGCCAAGCCCUUACAUGAAAGCACUCGAGGUGCAGAAAGGACCCAUUCGUAUGGGGACCUGAGCAGCAACAAGCCUUUUUAGUUAUCAAACAACGACUUAUGGAGGCCCCAGCCCUUGGACUGCCUAAUUCGGAAAAACCCUUUCAGCUGUAUGUACAUGAACAGAAUGGGAUUGCAGCAGCAGUCCUGACCCAGAGAUUAGGAAGUUGGAACCGUCCAGUAGCUUAUUUGUCAAAACAAUUGGACUCAGUAGCAAAGGAUGGCCUCCAUGCCUAAGGGCAGUAGCGGCCACUGCAAGCCUUGUCAAAGAAGCUGAUAAAUUUACCUUUGGCCAGACGAUGUAUGUGAAUGUACCUCAUGCUGUUCUGACACUCAUGGAAUAUAAGGGUAGUUAUUGGCUAACGAAUCCAAGGAUGGCUAGAUACCAAGGCCUAUUGUGUGAAAAUCCCAGGAUUCAUCUACGAGUAGUGAAUAUGCUCAAUCCAGCAACUUUGCUGCCCCUACCAGAGGUAGAUGAUGAAGAAUCACAUGAUUGUCUCCAAAUAAUGGAUGAAGUGUAUUCCAGUAGACCCGAUCUGAAAGAUGAACCAUUGAAAAAUCCAGAUGUUGUAUAUUAUACUGAUGGUAGCAGUUACCUGCAUGAAGGUGCCAGACGAGCAGGAUAUGCUGUGGUCACCAAUGAGGAAGUUGUGGAAGCUGAAGCUUUGCCUGCUGGCACCUCAGCACAAAAGGCUGAACUUAUAGGUUUAACUAGAGCUCUGCAAUUGGCAGCCGGAUGUAAGGCAAACAUCUAUACUGAUUCUAAAUAUGCCUUCUUAACCCUGCAUGCACAUGGAGCUCUAUGGAAAGAAAGAGGUCUAAUCGGAGCCCAUGGGAAGGCCUUGAAAUAUGGACCUGAAGUAGAAAUCCUGUUGGAAGCAGUAUGGGCUCCAGAACAGAUUGCUGUAAUGCACUGCAAAGGUCAUGGACGUGGAAGGGAUCCAAUAACCAGAGGAAAUCAUGCUGCUGACAAAGCAGCCCGAGAGGCAGCCCAGAAGCCUGUGGGAGGAUUUAUAGCAGCCCUCAUACCAGAGGUAGUUCCAGAAGAAAUUAAACCUCACUAUACCCCAGAAGAGAGGAAGUGGGCUGAACAGGAAGGAGCGGUUGUGAAGGACGGUUGGAUGAUCCUGCCGGACAAUAGGAUUUAUGUACCUCAUCACCUAGCAGGCACAAUUGUAAGAAAUUAUCAUGAAUCUACUCACCUUGGCGGUACUGCAACCAGAGAGAGUCUCAGUCGGAAGUUGUAUAUUAUUAACCUAUCACAAUUAGCAACUUGCAUUUCACAGAAAUGUGUUCUUUGUGCUAAAAACAAUCCCAGGCAGGGACCGGUACAACCUCCUGGAAUCCAACAUGUGGGAUACGUCCCCAUGGAAAGCCUAAUUGUGGACUUCACAGAGCUGGUCCCUUCUAAGGGAUUCAAGUACCUCCUUGUGUUUGUAGAUACCCUUACCGGAUGGGUUGAAGCUUUUCCCACCAGGACUGAAAAGGCACGAGAGGUAACUAAGAGACUCCUCACUGAAUUGAUCCCGAGGUUUGGAUUACCUAGAUGCAUUGGAAGUGAUAAUGGGCCAGCGUUCAUUGAUCAAGUAGUACAAGAAGUAUGUCGAGUCCUACAAGUGAAAUGGAGACUGCAUGCAGCAUAUAGGCCUCAAAGUUCGGGGAAACUGAAAGAAUGAAUCGGACUCUGAAAACCCAAUUGGCAAAAUUAACCCAGGAAACAGGAUUGGGAUGGGUAGAUGUGUUACCCAUAACACUGUUUCGUGUUCGGUGUGCACCCACAAAAAGACUUAAGUUGUCACCUUUUGAGCUCCUGUAUGGGAGGCCACCCUCCUUUGUUCAGGAUAUUCCAGCUGACCUCAAACAAAUAGGAGACCAUGUGACACAGGGACAAGUGCAAUCUCUCUCCCGUGUUUUUGUUUCUCUUAACAGGUGGGCCCUCGAGCGCACGCCGUGCAGCAUUGCCGAGCCGAUUCAUCAGUUCCAGGCUGGCGAUAGCGUAUGGGUGAAAGAGUGGAAACGUGAUCCACUUGCACCUAAGUGGCGUGGGCCUUACACCGUCUUGCUCUCUACUCCAACAGCGGUGAAGGUAGCUGAGGUGACCCCCUGGAUUCAUCACUCCCGUUUGAAGAAGUCCGAAGGCAGUUGGACGUGCAAAGGUGACCCCUCUAAUCCUUUUAAACUGACUCUCUCCAAAAACCCCUGUAUCUAGCCCUACGGGGAACGGGCUAGGUCACGGGCAACAUUAGACGACCGGCCUGCUGCAGCCACAACCUGGAAGCUGGCUGACCUGCGCACGCCUGAAGCUUGAGGAGCAUCUGAACCAGCGAUUGUGAACAGGAAGAUUCUCUUAUACAUUUGAUUGACUGCCCCCCCCCCUGUGGAACAAUUAUCAGGGAUAUUACUCAUUGGGGAUCCUCGGGAUAUAUGUUUUGGUCUUGGUGGUUCCCCAUUUCUGUCAUUGGGGGAAUUAUAUUGGGCCUAAUAUUUUUUGUUAUCACAAUAAGGUAAUCUUUUGUGGAAGAAAUGCAUAUACUAGACAUCAACAUGAUUUUAUUAUUAAUCCUGAUCCCUUGGGAAGGGGAAGGGUCCUUGAAUCUGACCAAAUUUGCUAAAUAUGGAUUCCGCCAUGACCACAAUAUGUGGGUAGGCUUAGCUGAGAUGGUAGCCAAUGUUACAAAUAGGACCAAUUGCCUUGUUUGCUCUCUUGGACCAGAUGAUUCAGAGGGAGGUAUGCCCUUAUUACCGAUACCAUUAAAUGCCAUUGGUAUGGUAAGCGAAAUGCCACACCAAACAGAAGUACAGAAUUUCCCCGGAUGGAACUCAACUAAACCAAUACGAGUUAUACCUGUGCAAGGGGAAUUCUGUGUACAUAAAUUAUCAGCUGCAGCUGAUUCUAUCAUGAUAGGCUCUUCUCAUUGCCACUAUACUUGGGAUUAUAUUAAGAAUAGUCAAACCUGGGCAAACGGUACUACCUAUCGAACUCGGAAUACCUUGCCCUGUGCACCUCCUUUUAUUCAUGCAUGGAAACUGGUGUGGAACAUAACUGUGACAGAAAAAGGCAAUCUAACAUACUGCACUGUGAACUCUAUGCCCCUUUUGAUAUUUCGCCUUAUGCACUCCACGUACCAAAAACCUCAGACCCGAUGGUUGUGGUGGAUAUGUGGAGAAUGGGCAUACAAGCAACUCCCUCCCAAAUGGAGUGGGACUUGUUUCCUGGGAUGGGUAUUACCACCAAUGUGGAUUAUGCCCACUAGUUCGGCAAAGCGUACACGAAGAAAUGCUGAUAUUUCUCAUAUAGCAGGAGGAAGUACCCAAAGUUGGAGUGAUACUGAUGAUUGGCCACCAGAGCGCAUUAUAGCCUAUUAUGAGCCUGCCUCCUGGAAUCCUGAUGAGCUCAUACAAGGGGCACGGGAUCCUAUUUAUAAUCUAAACAGAAUAAUUCGAUUGCAAGCAGUAGUGGAACUUGUAACCAAUGCAACGGCCCAGAGUUUGAGACUUAUUGCACAACAGUUGGAUGAAAGUAGAGCCGCCAUUUUGCAGCUGAAAAUGGGAAUGGAUUAUGUACUUGCCAGGCAGGGAGGCCUAUGUGGAGUCUUAAACUUGACAGGGAAUGCCUGUUGCUUUAACAUUUCUGAUAAUGGUGAGGCAAUCCGUGUGUUGGCCACAAAGAUGGAGAGUAUAGCACAUGUCCCAGUACAAAUAUGGGAAGGAUGGGAUAUGGGAUGGCUCACCAAUUGGUUACCUAAUGUUGCGGGACUCAAAGGGAUACUAUUGUCUUGCUUGUUUUUCUUGACGGUAGUAGUAAUGGUUUUAUGUACGGUGCCAUGUAUCAUUUCAUGUUUUAGAAGUACAAUUAGCAAGAUGAUUUCAAAUGAAACUUUACCUCAUAUUAUGGCCCUAUACAGAGCUUUACCUCAGGAAUAUGACGAAGGUCAAGCUAUCAAGGACACUUGGGAUGAAGGUCCUUGAGCUUGAAAGGGGGGAAUGAGGCAUCUGAUCAAAAUCUGCUUUGAGCUUAAAAAAUUAUAUUUGUAAAUAUAUUUUCUCUCAUGCAAGGAGAAGAGCAGCUGAAUACUCUGGCAGCUGUUCAGGGGCCCCACUGCUAUAAAUAGCAGUAUUUCAGGGUUGUAAAAGUAUUUCAAGGUUGUAAAGGAAAUUAGAGCCAGAGAGCAAAAGGUCACACUGACCAGAAUACAAUCAAGCUGUAAAAACACAAUUAAGAACUGGUAAAUAGUGAAAUUUAUUGUUUAACAGAAGACUCGAGCCAUAAGGUUAAAGGUUAAAUGGAAGAGGUUGCUCUUAGAAACAGCUGCUGGAUAGGGAAAAGGUUUCUUUAUAGAACUUAGGAACUUAGCUUUCACUAAGUUCCUUCUAAUUUGAAAAGGCCUUUCCUUCUAAAAAUCUAUCUAUGUUAUGUAUGAAAUAUAUUGGCUUAAAUGUGAUUAUGCAAAGGAUUUAGAAAGUAAGAAAUGUUAGAUUCUUAUGUUAGAUUCCUAUUAUGGUGGGUGAGAAUGUGAACUCAAGAUCUCUUUAAGAUAAAAAAAUUAGAAACCAUGCACCAUCUGCUUUAGCCAUCUGGUUUGCGGUGAAUAGGGCAACAGGGGCCAAAGGUUAUCUGGUAAUUGAGGUGCCUGGUCGAGGUAAAUGUAAGAUAUAUGGCUACUUGUCUGCCAUUUAUGGAUACAAGGAAAUAUAGCUUUUGUCUCCCAUAAAAGGGAAUAGGAAAUGGGUGUAUCUUUUAUGAUUGGUUCUAGCAAACAACCAAUAGGAAUUUCAACCAGGAUGAUUGGACAGAGGCAGCCAAAGGAGGAGCAAGGGGGCUGGGCUGAGGAAAUAUAAGUGCUGGCCAUCAGGGCUGGAGUAGGCAGAGCUUUGGUAUCCAUAUACCACUGUGUCUCUCAUUUAUUUGUCUGACAAAUAAAUUAUUAUUUUAAUUUCUC